rnacentral:rRNA from 1 species
GGACUACCCGGGUUUCUAAUCCUGUUUGCUCCCCACGCUUUCGUGUCUCAGCGUCAGUACUCGUCCAGUUGGCCGCCUUCGCCACCGGUGUUCCUCUCGAUAUCUACGAAUUUCACCUCUACACCGAGAAUUCCACCAACCUCUCCGGUACUCGAGCCGUGCAGUUUCGGGUGCCCUUCCCGAGUUGAGCCCGGGGAUUUCACAUCCGACUUGCACGGCCGCCUACACACGCUUUACGCCCAGUAAUUCCGAACAACGUUUGCACCCUCUGUCUUACCGCGGCUGCUGGCAC